UGGAGCAGCCCAAUAAAUCCUCCUUUAUUAAUGAGACCAGUGUCCCUGGUGGAACAAUGAAAUUAACCAAGUAACACGUGUAGACUUACUCAGUCAUCCAUUUAACUCACAUUUAUUGAGAGUCCGCCUCUGCUGAGAUGCUGGUGAUAAGGAUAGGAAGGCUGACGUCAAGUCACUACUUAUCAGCGAGGCCGCAUGAGCACUUAGAGGCUGAUGUCUCCUGAUGGGUGGUGUUCACAUCAUAGCUGUUGUUAAAUAAUUUGACCACCACCACUCGAUGCAGGAAUAAACAAGUUCCUGCCUUUGUGGACCUUACAUCUUCAUGAGAGGAGCAAGUCAACUUAACAGAAGUCAGUUCAUGAACAAUCAGGCAAUGAUUGAAUGAACAUGAACAGAGUCUAAGGGGCAAGGCUGGAUUCAGGAGGCCCCCUGGGAUGUUUUCACUGUCAUCUGGAGACUGACGACACGGACCAUGGAGACAGCUGUGGCACGGAGGGCAGAGGACUGCUGAGGAGGCAGAUGAUGUCCUGAGCUGGAGGGGAACACCGUGGAAGAUUAACAUGAGAGGUGAACUGUAAAGACAAGGAGUUUUAAAAACUCAAUUUAAGAAAACAGAAGACCUUGAUACUCAUUUCCAUCUCAUCCUGGCUUCUAGAAUUGUCCUCCAAGGAGAAAUCUCUCUGCCCAAGUGACUUGAGUUUGCACUGGAGUUGACUGAAGGGUAGAGAUAGACACUCUUCUGCCUCAAGCCACAGCAUGAUCCUGUGUCGGAACUCAGAAUUAAUCCUGGAGGGCAGCCUCGGUGCUUGCUAUUUAGUUCGGCAUCAUCAGACUCCAGGUGCAUUUAAUACUCCAGGGCAGGCCCAUUGGUUAUUUUUAAUGUGUGCUGUUGAUUUGCUUUAGCACUUCCAUCAGACACAAAAGAGUCUGGGUUUGGGACCCCUCACCGCUGCUGACACCAGCAGGAACUGGGCAGGGCUGUCAGGCAUUCCAAGUGCUGCCCUUCAGAAAGAGAUGCUCCGCUUGUGUUUCUGCUGAUAGAUGUUGGUAGCUGUCCAGAGAAAAGUUGAAGUUCCCAUUGCUUUUUCCAGAAAGAGUAAUGGGGAGCCCUUGUGUUCCAGCCAACAAUCCCUCUUCUCAAUAAAACAAAUAGGUUCUAUUUUGGCAGCUUUCUGAGCUGUUGCUGAGAACAUAAAGGCGGCUCUGUCUUUCUCUGUGGUAAAUAUACAGCAAGCAUUUAACUCAAUACUAGAUAAAUCACUGAGAUGGCUCAUAAGAAGAGGUGUCUGGUGCUGGUUUUUUAACUUUUUAAAGCAUUGAUUAAUAUAUUUUCCUCCUUUAAGUUCUUUUUUUCAGGUCUAUUGAGAUGUGAUUGACAAAAUUGUGAUAUAUUUGAAGUGUACAAGGUGGUGAUUUGAUACACUUCUCCUUUCUUGACUAAU